AACGAACGCUGGCGGCGUGGAUAAGACAUGCAAGUCGAGCGCUAUACUCAUUGUAGCAAUAUAGUGAGUGUGGAGCGGCGCAAGGGUGCGUAACACGUGGGUAAUUUGCCAUGAAGUUGG
rnacentral:rRNA from 1 species